rnacentral:lncRNA from 1 species
AUGAGGCAAUUUCCUGGAAAGCAUUACCAACUAGAAGGAGCAACUGUGAUAAGAGCUGAGGUUCAGCCACUCUUGUACAGCAGCACAUACACGACUAUGAGGUUUCUAGAGACAGGCGCAAGAGAACCCUUGACUUUCUUCUGUAUGGCUAGGUCCUGGUGGUUACCCUUGAUCAAGAUCAUGGUAAAGUAAACUUGAGGAAAUUUACCUGUCCUCCUGGUGAAGGAAAUGGAUGUUUGCCCCAGACAAAGAGUAAAGGAUGUUGGUCAAAUACCUUCAUUUAACACCAAUAGGCUUUGAAGUGUUUCAUGGCAUUUAGAGAAGAUAGGCCUCAGCUAGGAUUAAUAAUAAAUGGACAUUAAUCUAAAAUCA